CAGCCGCCGCGGUAAUACCGGCGGCCCGAGUGGCGGUCACUAUUAUUGGGCUUAAAGCGUCCGUAGCCGGGUUGGGAAGUCCUCCGGGAAAUCUGGCCGCUUAAAGGUCAGAAUGCCGGAGGAUACUCCCAGCCUAGGGAGCGGGAGAGGCCGAGGGGAUUCCCGGGGUAGGGGGGAAAUCCUAUAAUCCCGGGAGGACCACCUGUGGCGAAGGCGCUCGGCUGGAACGCGUCCGACGGUGAGGGACGAAGGCCAGGGGAGCAAACCGGAUUAGAUACCCGGGUAGUCCCGGCUGUAAACGAUGCGGGCUAGCUGUUGGGUGGGCUGAGAGCCCACCCAGUGGCGCAGGGAAGCCGUUAAGCCCGCCGCCUGGGGAGUACGGCCGCAAGGCUGAAACUUAAAGGAAUUGGCGGG
rnacentral:rRNA from 1 species